rnacentral:rRNA from 1 species
UACGUAGGGUGCGAGCGUUGUCCGGAUUUAUUGGGCGUAAAGAGCGCGUAGGCGGUCCGGUAAGUCCGCUCUGAAAGUCCGGGGCUCAACCCCGGGAGGCGGGCGGAUACUGUCGGGCUAGAGUCCGGAAGAGGCGAGUGGAAUUCCUGGUGUAGCGGUGAAAUGCGCAGAUAUCAGGAGGAACACCAAUGGCGAAGGCAGCUCGCUGGGACGGUACUGACGCUGAGGCGCGAAAGCGUGGGGAGCAAACAGG